AGAGUUUGAUCAUGGCUCAGAUUGAACGCUGGCGGCAGGCCUAACACAUGCAAGUCGAACGGUAACAGGAAGAAGCUUGCUUCUUUGCUGACGAGUGGCGGACGGGUGAGUAAUGUCUGGGAAACUGCCUGAUGGAGGGGGAUAACUACUGGAAACGGUAGCUAAUACCGCAUAACGUCGCAAGACCAAAGAGGGGGACCUUCGGGCCUCUUGCCAUCGGAUGUGCCCAGAUGGGAUUAGCUAGUAGGUGGGGUAACGGCUCACCUAGGCGACGAUCCCUAGCUGGUCUGAGAGGAUGACCAGCCACACUGGAACUGAGACACGGUCCAGACUCCUACGGGGGGCAGCAGUGGGGAAUAUUGCACAAUGGGCGCAAGCCUGAUGCAGCCAUGCCGCGUGUAUGAAGAAGGCCUUCGGGUUGUAAAGUACUUUCAGCGGGGAGGAAGGGAGUAAAGUUAAUACCUUUGCUCAUUGACGUUACCCGCAGAAGAAGCACCGGCUAACUCCGUGCCAGCAGCCGCGGUAAUACGGAGGGUGCAAGCGUUAAUCGGAAUUACUGGGCGUAAAGCGCACGCAGGCGGUUUGUUAAGUCAGAUGUGAAAUCCCCGGGCUCAACCUGGGAACUGCAUCUGAUACUGGCAAGCUUGAGUCUCGUAGAGGGGGGUAGAAUUCCAGGUGUAGCGGUGAAAUGCGUAGAGAUCUGGAGGAAUACCGGUGGCGAAGGCGGCCCCCUGGACGAAGACUGACGCUCAGGUGCGAAAGCGUGGGGAGCAAACAGGAUUAGAUACCCUGGUAGUCCACGCCGUAAACGAUGUCGACUUGGAGGUUGUGCCCUUGAGGCGUGGCUUCCGGAGCUAACGCGUUAAGUCGACCGCCUGGGGAGUACGGCCGCAAGGUUAAAACUCAAAUGAAUUGACAGGGGCCCGCACAAGCGGUGGAGCAUGUGGUUUAAUUCGAUGCAACGCGAAGAACCUUACCUGGUCUUGACAUCCACGGAAGUUUUCAGAGAUGAGAAUGUGCCUUCGGGAACCGUGAGACAGGUGCUGCAUGGCUGUCGUCAGCUCGUGUUGUGAAAUGUUGGGUUAAGUCCCGCAACGAGCGCAACCCUUAUCCUUUGUUGCCAGCGGUCCGGCCGGGAACUCAAAGGAGACUGCCAGUGAUAAACUGGAGGAAGGUGUGGAUGACGUCAAGUCAUCAUGGCCCUUACGACCAGGGCUACACACGUGCUACAAUGGCGCAUACAAAGAGAAGCGACCUCGCGAGAGCAAGCGGACCUCAUAAAGUGCGUCGUAGUCCGGAUUGGAGUCUGCAACUCGACUCCAUGAAGUCGGAAUCGCUAGUAAUCGUGGAUCAGAAUGCCACGGUGAAUACGUUCCCGGGCCUUGUACACACCGCCCGUCACACCAUGGGAGUGGGUUGCAAAAGAAGUAGGUAGCUUAACCUUCGGGAGGGCGCUUACCACUUUGUGAUUCAUGACUGGGGUGAAGUCGUAACAAGGUAACCGUAGGGGAACCUGCGGUUG
rnacentral:rRNA from 1 species